UGACAAAGAGCAUGAAAAAUGCAUCUGAUUUCGGCUCAGGGGAUGCGCGCCGAGCGCUUUGUUUU
rnacentral:tRNA from 1 species